GCUCGUGAAGCUCAAUUGGUCGAGCGAAAUAUUGAAGCUAUUUAGGUUAUAAGUUCAAGUCUUAUCUCGAGCA
rfam:Colletotrichum orbiculare MAFF 240422 contig02828, whole genome shotgun sequence.